UAGGAAAAAACUGACAUAAGUUUUAGAUUUUAUUCAUUCAUACAUUAUUUACAGCAGUUGCUUUCAUAUUACAAUUCUCUUUCAUCUUUUCAGUUUUCACUUAUAAAAAAUUAACCAAAUAAACCUUAUAUAACCAAAUUUAUCACAGCAGGUCUGGUUAAUUUUCACAGUUACAGCGGCCAUCAGGAUCAGAACUUAAGUACCUACAAGUCAUUCAUCCGGAGCACCUCGCCUGCCCUGCCUGAGGACACCCUCUGUCCCUCAGGAGCUGGCUGGCUCCCGGGGCUCUGCCAAUGGAAGAUGGAGAGACCACGCUGCAUCGGGAUAACGCUUUGUAGGCUGGAGCUCAAGUGCCUAAAGCACACCAAGGGCUAACUCGCACACGUCCUGCCACACUAGAGAACUGGGUUGUAUCGAUACGUCUGCAAGCAGCUUUCCACCAGAGCUGACUCUGCUUCCCUCUCUAAGCAAAGUGUAUUCAUUUAUUCUAUUUUCUGCUAUUGUUGAGCCCCACUAGUGCAGUAGCACAGCACACCGGGGCAUGAGACUGCGGCAAUGAGCAUCCGCCUUCCUCUGUGUGACUCUGACAGCUCUUCCUUGUGCCUGUCUCUCCCACCGGGAAUGCAAUUGCAACAACUCACCCUUUAGAACUUUGGUGAAAAGCCCACUCUGUGUAAGGACUUACACCACUGAGGAACGACUCAGGUGGAGGGAUCCUGCAUGGGCAUAUUCUCUGCCAAAGUGAAGUCAAAGACUGAUGGCCUUUCCUAGUACUUAACCCUGCUCCCCAGGUGCAAUAGCAGCACUGAUGCCAGUGUGUUCCUAACAGUAUCACCUUUGUUAGCUGUCUCCCUGUGCUCUCCCCCACGUGCUCAUUUGCUUUACAGUGGUAAUUAUUGCUGUUUUAAAUAUGUUAGUUUUUUCUUUGAGGACUUGUAGCCACUUCCCAUUACAAAGUACAGUACAUACUAUGCCGAACAUAGAAAACACAAGACUAAUUUCACAUCGGUCUUGUACAACGGUGAGGAGAUGCAGAGUAAGAGGCUGUUCGGGGGAAAUCCAAGUUUCUAUUCAGGCAUGAGUUUAGCCUGUAACCCAUGAACUAAAUAGCCACUGCCUUGAACAUGAACAGUUCUUGUAAGCAAUUUAGCCCCAGUUUGGGUUUUUUUUUUUCAACUGACAUUGGACAUGUUCCAAAUUCAUACCACACAUCUCCUUAACACCACCAAAAAAAAUAGCUUCUUUUUUCCUUUACCGCAUUUGUCUCAAGAAGACUUUUGCUUUAAUAAAAUAACACAAGCACACGAAUUGCUUAAAGCUAACGGCCCAGCACAAUCAUAAGUACAACUCACAAAGCAACGGAUGCUUUGUGAAACCUAAUUACAUUUUUAAAAAAGCAAAUAUACAUAUUACAAGUCAAAAGGACUAAGCUUUGGAGGAAAAGAAAUGGAAAACAACGUUAGCUGUAUGUUCAUUAUGCUUACAUAGCAGUAGCUGCUUCUGCAUUCAAACAUGUUACUCGUAAGUAAGUUUACAGUUGCAUUAGGUAUUUGUAUGCUCUUGUCUCAAUAAGUCCAUCUUCUACUAUUCAGAUGUUGAAAGCAUAUUCUCUCCCGCAGCUGACCAUCGUGUAAUACAAAGACAGCACUGAACAGUGAUUUUAAACAGUGAUCAAUCUCCAAACGCUGACUUAGAGCUCACUGUUUUAAAUGACACUGUAUUUUAACUAAACUCGGUUGUUCAAAUUAUUCUCUUAUUUGAUUUUCAAUUAAAGGUACUCCAAAGGACCACUCAGGCAGCAGAUUUUUGGUGGGAGAUAAACAUAAUCUCUGUGCAUAGUCUCUAUUACUGAGGGAUGUAAGAGCACACCUUUUUUCUUUUGUUUGUUUGCUGUGUGGAUCUAUUUUGAGGGAGAAAAUAAAAAAAGAUAAAAUGAUCCUUUUGCAUUUUAAAGCUUAUUUAACGGUUUGCAUCCCUUAGUUUUAGUUUUCUUUAUGUGGUGUGGUAUAUUCCACCGCAAGACUCCAGUUGGCACGGAAUUAAAAUGCCUUUAUUAAGCUUUAAACAGAGUGCAUACCAACAGCAUCACACCAGUGCUAAUAAAACAGGCUCCCCGCACACUGAAAAUGAGAUUGUUAAUUCAGAGGUAACCGGAGCCGGUUCCUGCCUUUGUGUGUUUGGCAAUUCGGAAAUCCCUGCAGUCAGUCCCUAUCCAUUCGCACCUCAGCCAGCAAAUCUGGCAAAUUAAAAGGCAGCAGACCUCCAUCAUGGACGGGUUCAGUGAGCAAUGGGCAGCAGUAAGGAUCAUGAUAAGGUUCUGCAAAACCCUGGUUCCCUCGGGAAUUCUGACCACAGGACUUUGUUGGCUGCAGCAAGAAAGGGGCCUGAUCCCCAGCAGGCACCCAGCACUUUGUGCUCCCGCAGCACUGGGACCUCAACAGGCACAUCCAAACCCCAACAGCCACC
ensembl:lncRNA